rnacentral:rRNA from 1 species
AACGAACGCUGGCGGCAGGCUUAACACAUGCAAGUCGAACGCCCCGCAAGGGGAGUGGCAGACGGGUGAGUAACGCGUGGGAACAUACCCUUUCCUGCGGAAUAGGUCGGGGAAACUGGAAUUAAUACCGCAUACGCCCGACGGGGGAAAGAUUUAUCGGGGAAGGAUUGGCCGGCGUUGGAUUAGCUAGUUGGUGGGGUAAAGGCCUACCAAGGCGACGCUCCAUAGCUGGUCUGAGAGGAUGAUCAGCCACAUUGGGACUGAGACACGGCCCAAACUCCUACGGGAGGCAGCAGUGGGGAAUAUUGGACAAUGGGCGCAAGCCUGAUCCAGCCAUGCCGCGUGAGUGAUGAAGGCCUUAGGGUUGUAAAGCUCUUUCACCGAUGAAGAUAAUGACGGUAGUCGGAGAAGAAGCCCCGGCUAACUUCGUGCCAGCCGCCGCGGUAACAC